CAACAGGCUCUUCUAUGCUCCUGUAGAGCAGAGCCACAAAUACAAUGAUAACUAUGGCU
rfam:Phaethon lepturus contig21406, whole genome shotgun sequence.